rnacentral:rRNA from 1 species
AUUGAACGCUGGCGGCAUGCCUUACACAUGCAAGUCGAACGGCAGCACGGGAGCAAUCCUGGUGGCGAGUGGCGAACGGGUGAGUAAUAUAUCGGAACGUGCCCAGUCGUGGGGAUAACGUAGCGAAAGCUACGCUAAUACCGCAUACGAUCUACGGAUGAAAGCGGGGGAUCGCAAGACCUCGCGCGAUUGGAGCGGCCGAUAUCAGAUUAGGUAGUUGGUGAGGUAAAGGCUCACCAAGCCGACGAUCUGUAGCUGGUCUGAGAGGACGACCAGCCACACUGGGACUGAGACACGGCCCAGACUCCUACGGGAGGCAGCAGUGGGGAAUUUUGGACAAUGGGCGCAAGCCUGAUCCAGCAAUGCCGCGUGCAGGAUGAAGGCCUGGUU